rnacentral:rRNA from 1 species
AACGAACGCUGGCGGCAGGCCUAACACAUGCAAGUCGAACGCCGUAGCAAUACGGAGUGGCAGACGGGUGAGUAACGCGUGGGAACAUACCCUUCGGUUCGGAACAACUCAGGGAAACUUGAGCUAAUACCGGAUACGUGCGAGAGCAGAAAGAUUCAUCGCCGAAGGAUUGGCCCGCGUUCGAUUAGCUAGUUGGUGAGGUAACGGCUCACCAAGGCGACGAUCGAUAGCNGGUCUGAGAGGAUGAUCAGCCACAUUGGGACUGAGACACGGCCCAAACUCCUACGGGAGGCAGCAGUGGGGAAUAUUGGACAAUGGGCGCAAGCCUGAUCCAGCCAUGCCGCGUGAGUGAUGAAGGCCCUAGGGUUGUAAAGCUCUUUCGUCAGGGACGAUAAUGACGGUACCUGAAGAAGAAGCCCCGGCUAACUUCGUGCCAGCAGCCGCAGUAAU